CGAAGGUGAAAGCGUGUGCGACUCCCAGCCACGGCUUCUUUGGUACAUACUAGAACAUGCUUGCAUCUUUUGCUUGUUCAGCAGUCUAAAACCCUUGAAGAGGCAACAUCUGUGUUGAAGAAGUAGAAGCAACCAUCAGGUCCACUUGAGAGGAGCCCUGCCAAGGCCACUUGCAGUAAUCGCGCUUUCUUUGAACACAACAUCUGCUUACAUACGCUCUCUUACCAGAUCAAAUCGUAACAGCCAAAAUGGAAAAGGAAGAUGAAAGAAGAGAUGACAGAUAUAUGGAUAGUCCGUUUUAAUGCCAGUUGUAUACUUCUUUUAACCCAAGCCGAAUUCCCAAAUUCCCACCUCUUGUUAUUAAACCUGGUGGUUCUGCUCUGA